rnacentral:lncRNA from 1 species
UGAGAUAUUAAGUCAUUCUUUAUUAUAUUAUGUUCCCGUUGAGGUAUCCAGAGAAGCAAUGGCUCAAUUGCUUUAUACUCCUUUGAGUCAACCAUGCGGAUCUAGCAUGAAGUAUGUCUUAUAUUGCUCGGGCCUUCUCUGGAAAAAAUAUAAAUUUUUUAUUAAAUUUUGUUUGAUUAUUAUGGUAGGUAGAGUUGGUAAUCAGGUUGGAUACAGAUCACAUCAGAGCAAAUAACUGAUAAAUUUGAGUAACUAUAUAAAGUAUUUCAGCUACACUAUCUUUCUUAUUUUGACAAAAUUAUUUUCAACACUGUAUGCACCAUAUGGCCAUAUAUGCAGUCAAUCACAGCCACUUAUUUCUAUCGGUCUUACUCGUCAAAUGCUCAUCUUAAUGUACUACUGUAGAAAUGAGGCGUUGCGAUUAUCCGUGUGCAUGUGGUAUGGUGCAUGUAGUGUAAGGAAUAAUUUUUCUCAACUUUGUGAUGUGCAAUAUGUGUAAAUCCCUUUGUAUUUUAAUGGAGGCCAUGCAAGCAUAAGCAGAAUGGUACAAAAAUCCCAAAGAGUCUCAUGUGGCAUCUAAUGCCUUGAACAUGCAAGGUCACCGAUUACACGGCUAAACAAACGGCUUCCAUGCCAAUUCCUUUUCAGUACUCUUCCCCUUCCAUACAAAUUCAAGUAGCUCCGCUGGAAUACAGCUUUUCACGUGCAGGCAAUAAAAUUAGGUUUAAGUUGCAAAAGCAUCAUAAACCCAACUACAAGAUUGCUUGGCUAAAAGCAUGAAGAGUGACCACCAAACAGAUAUUACUAUUUAUCUAUCUACACACACACACACACA